UGGGGGAUAUUGCACAAUGGGGGAAACCCUGAUGCAGCGACGCCGCGUGAAGGAGGAAGUAUUUCGGUAUGUAAACUUCUAUCAGCAGGGAAGAAAAUGACGGUACCUGACCAAGAAGCUCCGGCUAAAUACGUGCCAGCAGCCGCGGUAAUACGUAUGGAGCAAGCGUUAUCCGGAUUUACUGGGUGUAAAGGGAGCGCAGGCGGCGCUGCAAGCCAGAAGUGAAAAUCCGGGGCCCAACCCCGGAAGUGCUUUUGGAACUGCAGUGCUGGAGUGCAGGAGAGGCAGGCGGAAUUCCUAGUGUAGCGGUGAAAUGCGUAGAUAUUAGGAGGAACACCAGUGGCGAAGGCGGCCUGCUGGACUGUAACUGACGCUGAGGCUCGAAAGCGUGGGGAGCAAACAGG
rnacentral:rRNA from 1 species